ensembl:lncRNA
UUUUUUUUUUUUUUUGCAUUUUGGUCUAUGAUAAAUUCAAAGAGUUUUUGUUUUCGUUCAUUGGUUGGUUGAUCACUUUUUUCAUAAUCUUUCACUACUGAUAGUCUUAUGAUAACUGAGGAUCCUGUUAAAAUGCAGAUUCUUAUUCAGAAGGUCUGGAGCAGGGUCUGAGAUUCUGAAUUUUUAAUAAGCUCUCAAGUUCUGCUGAUGCUUCUAGUCUAAGGAGCAGUAUAUUUAAGAAUCACUCUAGGGCUGGGUUGAGAAUUGGCUGUAGGAAAGUUAAGGAAGAAGCAGGGAAACUAGUCAGAAACUCAGGCAAGAGAUAAUGGUGCUUCAGAUCAGGGGUGGCAACCAUGGUACUGGUGAGAAGUGGUAGGUUUAUAUCUGAAAAGUAGAAACAAACAGAUUUCCAGUGUUUGAAGUGUGAGAAUGACGACAAGGUUUGUGGUAUAAGCAAAGGAAAGAACUGGGUCAUGAAGCCAGAGAGUGGGCGAACAGAGGACUAUGACAACAGUGCCUGAGCUGGGGACUUUCAUCAUAGCCACUUUCCAGAAAUGGUUCACACUGCUGGAAAAUACCAAGAAGACAUUUACCCUCUGGAUCCUUCUUUCUACAAAAGCAAACACAAUAAGCCAUGAUUAUGUAUAACUACAUUUUCAAUUCCCCCAAUAAACAAUGGCAGCAUCAACAGCAAGGGCCUUUAAAAAUCACUAAAAUCAAAGGUGUAAGGACCAAACAAAUGCCACAAUGGAAUAAGACACAGUGACUUCUUAACUCAUUUGCUGAAUCAGAAAGGCAAAUGGAACAUAUAAUCCUGGCCUGAACUAUCUGAAUCUCUUAGGGGUCUUCAACAACAGGACUCAUCAGUUUUUUCUGCAAAGGGGAUGGUCAAUUAGAUUCUACAGAAAAAGAUAUGAAUGAAUCAACACUGUGUUGAUGCCUUAUUAAUGAAUGAUGAGGUCUACCUGAAUGACAUGUGUUGUGCCAGGUGUGUGUGUAUAAGUUUCUGGGCAAGAUAAAAAAGGAAAAAAAUACUUGUCAGUCUUUCUACCUUCCAACCUCAACUUAAGAAAAAUGUAACAUGGCCUUCUCAGUAAAUCUAACAUUUUGCUAAAACAUUUUGCUUACAGAUAUCACCACAGGAAUUUCCCUGAGCUAUACUCUGCUCUAUAGAUUAAACCACUAAAAAUCUUACAAACAGAUAUAAUUUUCCCUCCUCUCUUUAGCUUAUCUUUAUCCCUAUUAAACAUCAACUCCCAAAAUAAUGAACAUAAAAAUGCAAGUUGAACUUGAGAGGGUUAAAAUAGCACCAAAAUUUUUUCAUGCAGUAAAAAUUGAAUAUGCUCAGUAAGGAAGCUGAUUGCAUUCAUGAACAGUCAUGAAGUCAUCCCACUGCAACAUUUUUAUCUAAGUUAAACUAUGCUUUUUACUAUAAGAAAGCUCUGUGCUGCAUCAUCAAAUAUUAUCUCUGACUAUCUAGGUUUUAAAGUUUGUUAAUAUCACCUCUCUUUCCUUAUUUACCUCCGAGGAGCAUGCCUCACAAUCUGCUCCAUGGAUUCAGGAAAGACCUUUCCUUGGCUAAGAUCAAAGCACUAUGAACUAAGUAGUUUGAUCCCUGUAGGUAUCUGAUUGCAAACUGCAUGUAUAAUCCUGCGCUUUAUAAAUAUAACGAUCUUAUAAUAGACCUGCUGAGUAUAAGCAGGCAGCUUAAUGCACACGGCCUAUGAAUCUUCAUAUUAAUUACUUUUCCUCCCAAACUGUGUGUAGUGGAAAGAACCAGGUGGAGGUUAGGGCCUUAGCUCUGUAGCUUACCAGGAGGACUUCAACAGUCACUUAACCUCUUUGACUGUCAGUUUUCUUAUCUAUAAAGUGAGGAUUAAAAUAUUUACUUCACAAAGUUGCCUUUGAGGCUUAGUUAGAUAGAAAGAAACUUGUGAAAUUUCUUAUUCAGUGUCAACCACAUUAUAAGCCCACAUUAAAUGAGAAUUAAUUUUAAAAUAAGAUCCAGAAAGGAAAUGCCUGUGAGAUAUCAGAUCAUACUUUAGAGACUACAAAUAAGACGAAGACUGGCCUUCCAUGUAGAAAGAGUAGAGUUGGCAGCUACUUUGGUAAACUGCAUUUUGGGAAAGAUUUUUAUCCUGCCUUUUGGCCUCCUUGAGAAAUGUUCCUUUUAGUUUGGCUCAGCCGAUGUGCCCUGGGAAAGGUGAUUUAUUAACUACAUAACAAGCAAACAGAGGCUAGAUCUUUCUCCAUAAUGAAUCCACCUCCACCUGCUAUAACCCAGCUAAACUAAGAACCAUGAGAGCCAAACAGCAGGAAAAAGCACUGGCCAUGGAAGGAGCGGGUAGAAAGCAGCUGAAGUUAGGGGAUGAGAAACAAAGAAGCAAAUAUGGGUUCAUUUAUCUAUCAGUCUCACUCAAGGACAACCUGCCUCUGUGUUAUAACACCUAGAGGUCUGCAUGGAGGAAAUUCCGCAUACAAGGAAGGCUGUUUCGGGUUUGAAGGCAUCCCAGCCCUGAAAAGUUUGAGAAAAUGCACUUGGCAAAGUAUGAGUACAGGUAAAGGUACAAGUGCACUGUGCUUAAAUGUAGUCCUGGAAAUUUGGACUUAGUUGGUCAAACUUUGGUCAGUUUGCAAGUUGGAACUGCCUGGCCUUGCAUAACCUUGAUUCAAAAUAAUGAUUAAUAGGCCUGUUUCUGCAGUGAAAAGAGGAAAAAUGUUAAGAGAAUAAACUAUGUCUUAAAAGAAAGAUUAACUCUUUCUUGCAACUGGCUUCCCUGCCAAGCGGCAGCAGGGAAUUGCAUGAUUAGGAUCCAAAUGUGUAGAAUGAAUGCACACUAAAAUUUUACUUCAUGAUAUUUUACCUCAUAUUCUCCUUGAGGUGAUUUUGAUAUUAUUAGAUAUCAAAAAUCAAGGCCUAGGAAGGCUUAUUCAUAAUCUAUUAAUUUAGCACUAAUGCAAUACCAAGAAUUGAAAUAAUAACUGC